AUUGUAACGGGCAAACAGCUUCAAAAUACACCAGAAACAGUAAUCCGGAAGUAUAGGCGGUAAAGAACCUGCAGCGCUCUCUUGUGUUGUAAACACCAUCCAUUAAAUCAUUAUUUUUCCCGAUGUAGCCAGAAAUAAUUUAACUGCAACUGAUAAUAAGUAAUAAAGUCGUCUGCAAAAAGAGCGAAUUUUAGAAAGUUGUUAAAUAAUAAAUUCCUAUUUGUUGCUAUAUAAUAUAUUCUAUCAGUCUUAUAUGGAUAUAACAGGUGAAAUAAAGGAGUAUGCUGAAAAAGAACAUGAAGAUAGAAUAAAAGAGAUAUUGUUAAUUCAAGAUGGCUGCAGGCAUUAUUCUAUUUCCGUAGAGUAAGUUUU